AGUGAACGCUGGCGGUAGGCCUAACACAUGCAAGUCGAACGGCAGCACAGUAAGAGCUUGCUCUUACGGGUGGCGAGUGGCGGACGGGUGAGGAAUACAUCGGAAUCUACUUUUUCGUGGGGGAUAACGUAGGGAAACUUACGCUAAUACCGCAUACGACCUACGGGUGAAAGCAGGGGAUCUUCGGACCUUGCGCGAUUGAAUGAGCCGAUGUCGGAUUAGCUAGUUGGCGGGGUAAAGGCCCACCAAGGCGACGAUCCGUAGCUGGUCUGAGAGGAUGUUCAGCCACACUGGAACUGAGACACGGUCCAGACUCCUACGGGAGGCAGCAGUGGGGAAUAUUGGACAAUGGGCGCAAGCCUGCUCCAGCCAUACCGCGUGGGUGAAGAAGGCCUUCGGGUUGUAAAGCCCUUUUGUUGGGAAAGAAAAGCAGCAGGUUAAUACCCCGCUGUUAUGACGGUACCCCAAGAAUAAGCACCGGCUAACUUCGUG
rnacentral:rRNA from 1 species